GUAAAGCUGUGUCUUAUCACCCUGGAUGAUCCGGCUUCAAAUCCGAGCCCUACAUCUCCAGUUUUUCAGGAGGUGUCAGGGCCUGGCCGUUGAAUCCCAUCCUUCAACGGCCAGGCCUGACACAUCCGAUUGGCUCCAUCACGGAUGUUGGCCAGCCUGUGAGGGGCUCUUUAAGUGGCCACCGCCAGAGACAAUAUAUCUCUCGUGCGAUUAUGGCGGCUUAACUAACCUAACCUAACCUAUUAUCCUCAAAAUGAUCAGUGAAAGUGCUUUAUUAUGAAACAAAGCAUUUUGUUUUGAAUCAGAAGAGUUUUA
rnacentral:lncRNA from 1 species